CCUACGGGAGGCUGCAGUCGAGAAUCAUUCACAAUGGGGGAAACCCUGAUGGUGCGACGCCGCGUGGGGGAAUGAAGGUCUUCGGAUUGUAAACCCCUGUCAUGUGGGAGCAAAUUAAAAAGAUAGUACCACAAGAGGAAGAGACGGCUAACUCUGUGCCAGCAGCCGCGGUAAUACAGAGGUCUCAAGCGUUGUUCGGAAUCACUGGGCGUAAAGCGUGCGUAGGCUGUUUAGUAAGUCGUGUGUGAAAGGCGCGGGCUCAACCCGCGGACGGCACCUGAUACUGCGAGACUAGAGUAAGGGAGGGGGAACCGGAAUUCUCGGUGUAGCAGUGAAAUGCGUAGAUAUCGAGAGGAACACUCGUGGCGAAGGCGGGUUCCUGGACAUUAACUGACGCUGAGGCACGAAGGCCAGGGGAGCGAAAGGGAUUAGAUACCCUAGUAGUC
rnacentral:rRNA from 1 species